UAGUCGGAGGUGUGUCUCGGACGGUCGGUUCGCCGCUUGUCGGUGCUCAACUGGCCGGUCCGGACGUCCUGCCGGUGGGGCCGCGAGGCUCCGUCAUCCUUCUUUGGUCCUCUUCACCGAGUGCCUUGGUGGGCCGGCACGUUUACUUUGAACAAAUUAGAGUGCUCAAAGCAGGCCGUUGGUCGCCUGAAUACUGUGUGCAUGGAAUAAUGGAAUAGGACCUCGGUUCCAUUUUGUUGGUUUUCAGAACUCGAGGUAAUGAUUAAUAGGGACGGACGGGGGCAUUCGUAUUGCGACGUUAGAGGUGAAAUUCUUGGAUCGUCGCAAGACGAACCGAUGCGAAAGCAUUUGCCAAGAACGUUUUCGUUGAUCAAGAACGAAAGUUAGAGGUUCGAAGGCGAUCAGAUACCGCCCUAGUUCUAACCAUAAACGAUGCCAGCUAGCCAUCCGCCGAAGUUCCUUCUAUGACUCGGCGGGCAGCUUCCGGGAAACCAAAGCUCUUGGGUUCCGGGGGAAGUAU
rnacentral:rRNA from 5 species